rnacentral:rRNA from 1 species
AUUGAACGCUGGCGGCAUGCUCUACACAUGCAAGUCGAACGGCAGCACGGGGGCAACCCUGGUGGCGAGUGGCGAACGGGUGAGUAAUGCAUCGGAACGUGUCCUUAAGUGGGGGAUAACGCAUCGAAAGAUGCGCUAAUACCGCAUAAUCUCUAAGGAGAAAAGCAGGGGAUCGCAAGACCUUGCGCUUUUGGAGCGGCCGAUGUCUGAUUAGCUAGUUGGUGAGGUAAAGGCUUACCAAGGCUUCGAUCAGUAGCUGGUCUGAGAGGACGACCAGCCACACUGGGACUGAGACACGGCCCAGACUCCUACGGGAGGCAGCAGUGGGGAAUUUUGGACAAUGGGGGAAACCCUGAUCCAGCCAUGCCGCGUGAGUGAAGAAGGCCU